GCCGGGAGUGGUGGCGCAUGCCUGUAAUCCCAGCUACUCGGGAGGCUGAGGUAGGAGAAUUGCUUGAACCCAGGAGGCAGAGGUUGCAGUGAGCCGAGAUUGCGCCACUGCACUCCAGCCUGGGUGACAGAGCGAGACUCCGUCUCAA
rnacentral:SRP_RNA from 1 species